ACCAAAUACAAUCUGCACGCGCUGCUGAAGAAAUAUGCUGCGCGCUCGCACUCUACAGCGCCAAUGUGCGGUGUGACGUCACUCCGCUCGAGAUGAGGGCGAUCACUCCCCGCAGCAUCUCCCACUAAAGCACGCUGUACGAGAACUCUACUACAGCGCGAAUAAAAACAUCAAUAGCGUGGAAUAUGACUACGCGAAUUUGCAGCUUAUUUGUAGCCAUUUUGUUGUCUUCAAACUAAACGCUGUCACAGUGAGAGGUGGCGUGCUGAAAUCGCUUCAGUCAGCGCGGGGACAGCCCGGUCUUUCCAUUUCUCAAGGAUUUGAUGUCACGUUAUGGAGACAAUGCUAAGGUUUUUUUUAUUUAUUUUUUUUUUAUUAUUUUUUUAAAACCUUAUUCGGGGUUAACCUUAAUCCGGGUGCUUUUAUCGAGCUUCGACAUCAAUACUGCUUAAACACUGCCUCGGAUUAUUGGAUGUUAAUUCUCUCAGCACAAUGAGCGACUCUCUUCAUUUCACAAAUGAAAGGUUCAAAUUCCCACUCUGCACAGCUUUUCAUACAAGCAGUACCUCAUCAACAGAGCUGCUAUGGCAGCGAGCCCAGCCCUGGACCUAUCCGCUGCUUUCGCUGCAGAGAGGUGUGUAAAGGGGAGGUUGUGCGAGUGCAGAGCAUCCAUUUCCACGUCAAAUGUUUCACCUGCCAAGUGUGUGGCUGUAACUUGGCACGUUCCGGAUUUUUCCAGAAGAAGGGCGAGUACAUAUGCACAGCAGACUACCAGCAUCUGUAUGGCACAAAGUGUGACAGCUGUGGGGACUUCAUCACAGGAGAGGUGGUAUCAGCGCUGGGCCACACAUAUCACCCAAAGUGCUUCGUUUGCAGUGUCUGCAGAAAACCCUUUCCAAUUGGAGACAGAGUGACAUUCAGUGGUAAGGAGUGUGUUUGUCAGCAGUGCUCCCACAAGCUUGUUGCUUCAAAUGAGCCGAUUAAGAUUCAUGGACCCAGUCACUGUGCAGGCUGUAAGGAGGAGAUCAAGCAAGGCCAGUCUCUCCUGGCAUUGGAGAAACAAUGGCACGUCAGCUGCUUUAAGUGCCAGACCUGCGGAAUUCUGCUCACUGGAGAAUACAUAAGCAAAGAUGGUAUCCCGUACUGUGAAUCAGAUUACCACACCCAGUUUGGGAUAAAGUGUGAGACCUGCAACCGAUACAUCAGUGGACGAGUACUAGAGGCUGGAGGAAAGCACUAUCACCCUACUUGUGCUCGCUGUGCCCGGUGUCAGUUGAUGUUUACAGAAGGAGAGGAGAUGUACCUGACAGGUUCUGAGGUUUGGCAUCCUGCAUGUAAGCAGGCAGCUCGAGCGGCAAGGAAGCUCAGAGUGCGGCGCUUGUCAGAGACAUCCAUCUCACCCCCAGAGUCCAGCAUCAGUUCACCCAGCCGAGUCAUCUGUGCCAGAGUGGAGAAUGAGAUCCUAGAGUACAAAGAUCUGGCCGCACUGCCUAAGGUUAAGGCCAUUUACGAUCUGCAGAGGCCUGAAUUCUUAUCCUAUGAGCCAUAUUACAGGUUCUACUCGGACGACAGGCUAGAGCGCCUCAGCUUCGGCGAGUCGUUGGGCACACUCUCCCCUUAUUCUCAGGACAUGUAUGACAGUGUGGAUCUGCGGCAGCGUAGGUCCUCCAGUCCUGGUUAUAUUGAUUCUCCUACCUACAGCAGGCAGAGCAUGUCCCCUGUGCUGCCCCACUCUCCACAGCACUACUACCGAUAUGGCACUGAAAGUGGCAGGAGCUCACCCUAUUACCCACAGCUGGAGGCCAGGUCCAGCACACCCACUACAAAUCAAGCGCCGAAGCAUUUCCAUGUGCCAGCAACAGGAGAUCCUAACAUCUACCGGAAGCCUCCCAUCUAUAAGAGACAUGAGUGUAUACAGAUGGGUGACCAAUUAAAAGCCACAAAGAGCAAGACCAGCGAAGAUAUCCUUCACUCAUCCAGAUUCUCAACAACCUACUCACCCGAGCACUACCAGCACACCCAAUCAAAUUACUUUCAAAGCCCUGGUUCCCCUAAAUCUUUACGUAUUCCACGAAGAAGAUUCUCAUCAGGAGGAGAGGAAGGUGGAUGGAAUUAUGGUCUUCAAAGAAUCCAGAGUGGGAUUGGCAGGAUGAUCCUGAAGGAAGAGAUGAAAGCCCGAUCUGGUUCUUAUGACAACGACCCCUGGGGCAGCACACGGAACUCCCGUGCUGGGAGCAAGGAGACUCUGCACAACACCAGCUACAACAACACCAUCAAUGGCUCUUCAAAGGCACUCUAUCCAGCUGAAAAUGAAUAUAUAUCAAAAUCAGCCUCUUUACCAGGAUAUGGAAGAAAUGGACUACACAGGCAGCAAAAUACAGACUACUUUCAGUAUGACAGUGGCAAUGAGGUCAACUGGGGAAUCAGAGAGUACAAGGUGAGUUCUGAACCGAAGGAGAGGUAAAUUACAGUACUUCAGCAUAAUGAGCUCAAAGCAACAUCCAGCUGAGUAGAAGAGGAAGAAACCAGAGAAUGGGGAAAUCAGUUAGCCAGGGGUCAUGGGGAGGUCAAGAGCUGACCUCCUGAUAAGAAUGCCACCAUGUAGCUUGAUUCCUGUCUUUGAGCAGUUAAUGUAGCAGGCUUGAAUGGCUUCACAUCCAAGAACAUCCAACUUGUUAUCCCCAUUCUUGCAAACAAUAAUUUAAACUAUUAGAAAUAACUAUUAGAAAUAAAUGUAAGAAAUGUCUUCCAUCAUAUUUGCUUAUUAUAUUUUCUUAUUAAAAUUAGAUUAAAAAUAGGUAUGCCCCUGCAUUUGCUGUCAACUCUGUUAUUUUGCUGACUGUAUUUAAAAUAAUGUAUGCUUUCCUUAAGUCUUGUAAUUUUGAGAAUGUGACCAUUCUUCACAACAUCUAUGCCAUGUGCUUCACCAUGUGAGGAGUUAUGGCUGACAUAGACAGGAACCGUCAGGAAGUGUCUGGUACUGAUACUCUGUAUGGUAACAAGUUUGAUAUGUUCAGUAAAAUGGUUGACCACUAAAAUUAUAAUAAUAGAGAAGACAUUUAUAAGUAAAAGUAAGAGCAAAUUUAGUAUAUAUGAGAUAAGUUAAACAUUAAAAGAAAUUGUACAAUAACACUCAAAACAAAUAAUAUUUGCACAUCCCAACCAUAAACAGUAUUGCUUAUUCAUGAAUGUUGAUGCUGACGUAAAAUGCAUAUUAUAUUGUCAUAUUAAUCAUAUAUUGUGUGAAAAGAAAUGUCUACUUACCUAUUAUUGGUAAGAAUAAAAUAAAAGCUGUUUAAACAGAAGAUUUUAUGGAGAAGUAUGUACUUACAAUAAGAAUUAUUUAAAAGUAUUAAUAUAAUUUUCAGGCAAAAAAAAAUUGUGUGUGUGUGUGUGGGGGGGGGGGGGGCACUGUUGGGUGUCUCAGCAGCACAAUGCAAAAAAAAAAUAAUAAUCAUGCAGAUACAUUUAAUGUUCUUCGAACACAAAAUGCGAUCUCCGAAACUGGACAGUUGAAGACUAAGAAAAGAGCAGGUGAUUUUUUAUUUUGUCCAGUUUCUAUGAGCCUGUGCCCAUGAUAAUCCAAGAUUACAGUUUUUGGCUGACAGGAGUGGGGCCCAAUGUGGCCUUCUGCUGUUGAAGCUCAUUCACCUCAAUAUUUGAUAUGUUGUGCUUUCUGAGAUGCUCUUCUGCUCAUAUAUAUAUAGUAGCUACAAUGCUUGUAAAGAGUGAUUGUUUGAGCUACUAUAUCCUUCCUGGCAGCUCGAACCAAUCUGGUCAUUUUCCUCUGACUUCUCUCAUCAACAAGGCGUUUCCACCCACAGAAUAGUUGCUCACUCAGUGUUUUUUUUUUUUUUUUUUUUUUUUUUUUUUUUGCACCAUUCUGUGGAAAUUUAUAGAUGUGUGACGUGUGUCUACCAACAACCAUGCCAUGAGAGUCACAGAGAUCAGACUUUGUCUUCACGGAACUGUUAACUGAAGCUUUUGACCUAUAUCUGCAUGUUGUUGUUGUUUUUGCAUUGCGCUGCUACCACAGGAUUGGCUGAUUAGAUGACUGCAUGAAUGUGCAUGUGUACAGGUAUUCCUAAUAAAGUGGAUGAUGAGUGAAGUUCACAACAGAAAAAUAGUAUAUUUACAGCAUAGCGGCCAUUAUUGUAAACAGCUGAAUUGCUGAAUUGUUGUUGCUGUCAUUAAUCCUGUUACCCUUAUGUCAUCUCUAUUAAGACAUAUUUUGGUAAUAAUAUAUAAACACAAAAUAGGAUGAAAGUAAUAGUUUGAAAGUUCAUUUACGUAUUAUAAAACAAAGGAAAUUGGUUUUAUAGGAACUCAUAAAAAACAUUGUAAGGUACUCAGAAUAAUGUGUAUUACUUGUGAAAAUAUGCAUAUAAUUCUAAAAUCUACUGAAAAUUAAUUGUAUUGAAUUGAGUGGCACUUAAUUUGCCAGAUAGUGCUGAAAAACUGUAUUUAAAUACAUUGGAUUUAAUAUCAAACAAAUGUGUGAAUGGCAGUAAAUGGGUUGACAACCAUAGUUUAUAUGAACAAAAAUAUUAUAUAAUCCAUAAGAUAUAGUAGUAGAUGAUGGCCAUCACUAUAUUUUCUUUCCUCAUGUCAAACAUUGUUUCAUAUAAAAAGUAAUGAAAUUUAAAAAAAAAAAAAAUAAAUAAACAAAAAAAAUAGCUAUUUAAUGCAGCUUGCACCUGCGUAAUUUCUAACUUAAAAUCAAACGUACAAUAACAAAAUUACAGGUAUAUCCUGUGUGAUUAAUGCAACUGUCCCUACAGGUUUACCCAUAUGAGGCGCUGAUUGUGACCACCAGGGGGCGAAACAGGCUGCCAAAAGAUGUAGAUAGAGCCAGACUGGAAAGGCAUCUGUCUCCUGAGGAGUUCUACCAGGUGUUUGGUAUGACCAUGGCCGAGUUUGACCGACUGGCACUGUGGAAGAGGAAUGAGAUGAAGAAACAGGCUAGGCUAUUCUAAAUGUUCCUGCUUCCUACAUGCAGAGAUAGAGACACCUGUCCAGAACCAGCCGACACACUUUUUCUGCCCACAUACUCAUAAGCCGACUGAGCAACAGCAGUGCUGCUGAACAUGUGCCAGGCACAUAUGUAGUAUCACUGAGUGUAGGAAAGAAAAAGAGAGCAACAGUCUUAAAUAAAGAGGAAAGCUAGAAGUCAUGUUCGAUUCUUGUUGCUUUAAGAGAUUUCUUCUAAUUUCGUAUUGACAAGAAUAGAGAAUCAAAUGUAAAAAUUUGGGAGUUUUGCCUUAUAUUUUGUGUUAACUUAUGCACCAGCAGAGUGACUAGAAUGUAGACAUUAUAUUAACAAUAUAAUCUGAGAUCCUUUUUUUGUUCCUGUCUUGUAUAUUACACUUGUAAAGUAAUAUUUUAUUUGACUUUAUGGACCAUUUUUUGCUUACAAUGGAAACACAUAGCUGAAUAAUAAUUAAGGUUAAUAGAAACAUGCAAGCUUUUCCAUGAAAAUGAAAACCAAAGUCUCAGUACUGUGUGUGAUUUACACAAAAAAUAGGGAUUGAGCACUAUCCAUGCUAUAGAUGAUUCAGGGUCCUGGGCCUAAACACUGAAUGUAACUGUUUUUCAACAAAUGCAAUUAUUUAGUAGACACAGUCUAAAGAAUGUGUUGUGCCAUCCUAAAGAGUUUUGAAGGGUAGCAGUAGUUAUCAGUAUCUAGGUAAUUUGUUUUCAGAAUCCUUAAGGAAUAUUCACACACUAACGGACACAAAGCAUUAAAACACAUCAGUAGUAAGGGGUAUGUUUUAGGUUUUCUUAUUUCUUUAUUUCUCUGUCAGAAACAGAAUGUCUGUUUAUCGACAUUUAAAUUAGUCUCUUUUUAAAACAGGGCAUGCAACAUUUGGGUUUAUGGCAUUAAGGUGUUGUUAUGUUGCAUUUGUUUCUUUUCAUAUUACAGGCAUGAUUAUCAAUUUUUGACAAUCAGAGCAAUGUUAUUUUACUCAAGGGUACAUCCAUUGCAAAAAAAAGACCUCUAUUGCACUUAAUUGGGACCUAAUAGUGAAGUCUGUAAUACCACUGGAUAAUUGUGUGCAUUGUGUAGAUUAUGUUAGAUUUGGACAUCACAAACCAUCAGAUGAAAUGUCUCUGUUUUACACCUUUGUUAAUGUUUUUUUGUUUGGUUUUGUUUUUUGGCCACUGGUAUGUUAUAAAGUGUUAUACCAACUUCAGGGUAGUUAGUGGGAGAGUGGAAAUAUUUUUUGAUUCUUCCUUUUUUAAACAGUACAGCUACCUAUCUAGUUAACUUUAUUUAUUUGUUUCAACAAGUUAUGUAGCUAUCUUAUAUUUAAAUAAAGCUGGUUUUCUGGUGUA